AUUGAACGCUGGCGGCAGGCCUAACACAUGCAAGUCGAGCGGAUGAAGGGAGCUUGCUCCUGGAUUCAGCGGCGGACGGGUGAGUAAUGCCUAGGAAUCUGCCUGGUAGUGGGGGAUAACGUCCGGAAACGGGCGCUAAUACCGCAUACGUCCUGAGGGAGAAAGUGGGGGACCUUCGGACCUCACGCUAUCAGAUGAGCCUAGGUCGGAUUAGCUAGUUGGUUGGGUAAAGGCCUACCAAGGCGACGAUCCGUAACUGGUCUGAGAGGAUGAUCAGUCACACGGGAACUGAGACACGGUCCGGACUCCUACGGGAGGCAGCAGUGGGGAAUAUUGGACAAUGGGCGAAAGCCUGAUCCAGCCAUGCCGCGUGUGUGAAGAAGGUCUUCGGAUUGUAAAGCACUUUAAGUUGGGAGGAAGGGAAGUAAGUUAAUACCUUGCUGUUUUGACGUUACCAACAGAAUAAGCACCGGCCAACUUCGUG
rnacentral:rRNA from 1 species